UACAGAGGUCUCAAGCGUUGUUCGGAUUCAUUGGGCGUAAAGGGUGCGUAGGCGGCGCGGUAAGUCGGGUGUGAAAACCCGAAGCUCAACUUCGGGCCUGCAUCCGAAACUGCCCGACUAGAGGUAGGUAGGGGAGAUCGGAAUUCCUGGUGUAGCGGUGAAAUGCGCAGAUAUCAGGAGGAACACCGGUGGCGAAGGCGGAUCUCUGGGCCUUACCUGACGCUCAGGUGCGAAAGCUAGGGAGCGAACAGG
rnacentral:rRNA from 1 species